rnacentral:rRNA from 1 species
GGUCAAGCUAGAAAGGGCACACGGUGGAUGCCUAGGCGACGAGAGGCGAAGAAGGACGUGGAUAGCUGCGAAAAGCUCCGGGAAGCUGCGAACAAGCGUUGAUCCGGAGAUCUCCGAAUCGGGCAACCGAGUGCGGUCAUACGCACUAGUGCCGGACUGAAUACAUAGGUCCGGUGCGGCCAACCCAGGGAACUGAAACAUCUAAGUACCUGGUGGAAAGGACAUCAAAAGAGACUCCCCUAGUAGCGGCGAGCGAACGGGGACCAGCCUAAACCCAAUCAGUGUAAGCCUGGUGGCGUUGCUGAAUGGGUGUUGUGGGUCCAGUGAGAGAGUGCACCAGCCUCUCACAGAGUUAUCAAGUGUAUGGUUAGUGGAACAGCUUGGAACGGCUGGCGAUACAGGGUGACAGCCCCGUACACGAAAACGAUACACCUCUGCAUUGGCACCCGAGUAGCGCAGGGCACGUGGAACCCGGCGUGAAUCUGGGAGGACCAUCUUCCAAGGCUAAGUACUCCUCGGCGACCGAUAGUGAACAAGUACC